AGACCCGAAACCCGGUGAUCUAGCCAUGGGCAGGUUGAAGGUUGGGUAACACUAACUGGAGGACCGAACCGACUAAUGUUGAAAAAUUAGCGGAUGACCUGUGGCUGGGGGUGAAAGGCCAAUCAAACCGGGAGAUAGCUGGUUCUCCCCGAAAGCUAUUUAGGUAGCGCCUCGUGAAUUCAUCUCCGGGGGUAGAGCACUGUUUCGGCUAGGGGGCCAUCCCGGCUUACCAACCCGAUGCAAACUGCGAAUACCGGAGAAUGUUAUCACGGGAGACACACGGCGGGUGCUAACGUCCGUCGUGAAGAGGGAAACAACCCAGACCGCCAGCUAAGGUCCCAAAGUCAUGGUUAAGUGGGAAACGAUGUGGGAAGGCCCAGACAGCCAGGAUGUUGGCUUAGAAGCAGCCAUCAUUUAAAGAAAGCGUAAUAGCUCACUGGUCGAGUCGGCCUGCGCGGAAGAUGUAACGGGGCUAAACCAUGCACCGAAGCUGCGGCAGCGACACUGUGUGUUGUUGGGUAGGGGAGCGUUCUGUAAGCCUGUGAAGGUGUGUCGUGAGGCAUGCUGGAGGUAUCAGAAGUGCGAAUGCUGACAUAAGUAACGAUAAAGCGGGUGAAAAGCCCGCUCGCCGGAAGACCAAGGGUUCCUGUCCAACGUUAAUCGGGGCAGGGUGAGUCGACCCCUAAGGCGAGGCCGAAAGGCGUAGUCGAUGGGAAACGGGUUAAUAUUCCCGUACUUGGUGUUACUGCGAAGGGGGGACGGAGAAGGCUAUGUUGGCCGGGCGACGGUUGUCCCGGUUUAAGCGUGUAGGUGUGUGUUCCAGGUAAAUCCGGUUCACUUUAACACUGAGGCGUGACGACGAGGCACUACGGUGCUGAAGCAACAAAUGCCCUGCUUCCAGGAAAAGCCUCUAAGCAUCAGGUAACAUCAAAUCGUACCCCAAACCGACACAGGUGGUCAGGUAGAGAAUACCAAGGCGCUUGAGAGAACUCGGGUGAAGGAACUAGGCAAAAUGGUGCCGUAACUUCGGGAGAAGGCACGCUGACACGUAGGUGAAGUGAUUUACUCAUGGAGCUGAAGUCAGUCGAAGAUACCAGCUGGCUGCAACUGUUUAUUAAAAACACAGCACUGUGCAAACACGAAAGUGGACGUAUACGGUGUGACGCCUGCCCGGUGCCGGAAGGUUAAUUGAUGGGGUCAGCGCAAGCGAAGCUCCUGAUCGAAGCCCCGGUAAACGGCGGCCGUAACUAUAACGGUCCUAAGGUAGCGAAAUUCCUUGUCGGGUAAGUUCCGACCUGCACGAAUGGCGUAAUGAUGGCCAGGCUGUCUCCACCCGAGACUCAGUGAAAUUGAACUCGCUGUGAAGAUGCAGUGUACCCGCGGCAAGACGGAAAGACCCCGUGAACCUUUACUAUAGCUUGACACUGAACAUUGAGCCUUGAUGUGUAGGAUAGGUGGGAGGCUUUGAAGCGUGGACGCCAGUCUGCGUGGAGCCGACCUUGAAAUACCACCCUUUAAUGUUUGAUGUUCUAACGUGGACCCGUAAUCCGGGUUGCGG
rnacentral:rRNA from 1 species